AUUGAACGCUGGCGGCAUGCCUUACACAUGCAAGUCGAACGGUAACAGAUCUUCGGAUGCUGACGAGUGGCGAACGGGUGAGUAAUACAUCGGAACGUGCCUCGGAGUGGGGGAUAACUACUCGAAAGAGUGGCUAAUACCGCAUGAGAUCUACGGACGAAAGCAGGGGAGCGAUAGACCUUGUGCUACUAGAGCGGCCGAUGGCAGAUUAGGUAGUUGGUGGGGUAAAAGCUUACCAAGCCGACGAUCUGUAGCUGGUCUGAGAGGACGAUCAGCCACACUGGGACUGAGACACGGCCCAGACUCCUACGGGAGGCAGCAUUGGGGAAUUUUGGACAAUGGGCGAAAGCCUGAUCCAGCAAUGCCGCGUGCAGGAUGAAGGCCUUCGGGUUGUAAACUGCUUUAGUACGGAACGAAAAGCCCUAGGUUAAUACCCUGGAGUCAUGACGGUACCGUAAGAAUAAGCACCGGCUAACUACGUGCCAGCCGCCGCGGUAAGAC
rnacentral:rRNA from 1 species